rnacentral:rRNA from 1 species
GACGAACGCUGGCGGCGUGCUUAACACAUGCAAGUCGAACGGAAAGGCCCUGCUUUUGUGGGGUGCUCGAGUGGCGAACGGGUGAGUAACACGUGAGUAUCCUGCCCUUGACUUUGGGAUAACUUCAGGCAACUGGGGCUAAUACCGGAUAGGAGCGCCUGCUGCAUGGUGGGGGUUGGAAAGUUUCGGCGGUUGGGGAUGGACUCGCGGCUUAUCAGCUUGUUGGUGGGGUAGUGGCUUACCAGGGCUUUGACGGGUAGCCGGCAUGGGAGGGUGAACGGCCACAUUGGGACUGAGAUACGGCCCAGACUCCUACGGGGGGCAGAAGGGGGGAAUAUUGCACAGUGGGCGGAAGCCUGAUGCAGCAACGCCGCGUGCGGGAUGACGGCCUUCGGGUUGUGAACCGCUUUCGCCUGUGACGAAGCGUGAGUGACGGUAAUGGGUAAAGAAGCACCGGCUAACUACGUG